AUUUAAGUAGCUUAAAAAGAGUAUAAUAUUGAAGAUAUUAGGGUGAUUAUUAAAGUCCUUAAAUA
rnacentral:tRNA from 1 species